AUUGAACGCUGGCGGCAUGCCUUACACAUGCAAGUCGAACGGUAACGCGGGGCAACCUGGCGACGAGUGGCGAACGGGUGAGUAAUAUAUCGGAACGUGCCCAGAGGUGGGGGAUAGCCCGGCGAAAGCCGGAUUAAUACCGCAUACGACCUACGGGUGAAAGCGGGGGAUCGCAAGACCUCGCGCCAUUGGAGCGGCCGAUAUCAGAUUAGGUAGUUGGUGGGGUAAAGGCCUACCAAGCCAACGAUCUGUAGCUGGUCUGAGAGGACGACCAGCCACACUGGGACUGAGACACGGCCCAGACUCCUACGGGAGGCAG
rnacentral:rRNA from 1 species